UACGAAGGGUGCAAACGUUGCUCGGAAUUAUUGGGCGUAAAGCGCACGUAGGCGGCUUAGCAAGUCGGAUGUGAAAUCCCUCGGCUCAACCAAGGAAGUGCAUCCGAAACUGCUGAGCUUGAGUACGAAAGAGGAUCGCGGAAUACCCGGUGUAGAGGUGAAAUUCGUAGAUAUCGGGAGGAACACCAGUGGCGAAGGCGGCGAUCUGGGUCGCUACUGACGCUGAGGUGCGAAAGCGUGGGGAGCAAACAGG
rnacentral:rRNA from 1 species